rnacentral:rRNA from 1 species
GUCGGGAAUUUUGCGCAAUGGGCGAAAGCCUGACGCAGCAACGCCGCGUGAGGGAUGAAGGCCUUCGGGUUGUAAACCUCUUUUCUCAGGGACGAUGAUGACGGUACCUGAGGAAUAAGCCACGGCUAACUACGUGCCAGCAGCCGCGGUAAUACGUAGGUGGCAAGCGUUGUCCGGAUUUACUGGGCGUAAAGAGCGCGCAGGCGGUCAUUCAAGUCGAGUGUGAAAGCCCCCGGCUCAACUGGGGAGGGUCACUUGAUACUGUUUGACUCGAAGGCGGGAGAGGGAAGUGGAAUUCCCGGUGUAGUGGUGAAAUGCGUAGAUAUCGGGAGGAACACCAGUGGCGAAGGCGACUUCCUGGCCCGUUCUUGACGCUGAGGCGCGAAAGCUAGGGGAGCAAAC